rnacentral:rRNA from 1 species
UACGUAGGUGGCAAGCGUUGUCCGGAUUUACUGGGCGUAAAGAGCGCGCAGGCGGUCGUGCAAGUCGCGUGUGAAAGCCCCCGGCUCAACUGGGGAGGGUCACGCGAUACUGCUCCACUCGAAGGCAGGAGAGGGAAGUGGAAUUCCCGGUGUAGUGGUGAAAUGCGUAGAUAUCGGGAGGAACACCAGUGGCGAAGGCGACUUCCUGGCCUGUUCUUGACGCUGAGGCGCGAAAGCUAGGGUAGCAAACGGG